GGACUCUUCGAGUUGAUCCUGAAGAUGAGAAGCGCAGGGUUCAAAAGAACCCAAUAUACCAAGCUAAGGUGUAUAAAACUUUAAAUAACCGGUGUAUGGAGCUCAGGAAGACUUGCAAUCAUCCUUUGCUUAAUUACCCGUAUUUCAAUGACUUAUCUAAAGAUUUCCUUGUAAGAUCUUGUGGGAAAUUGUGGAUCCUAGACAGGAUCCUAAUAAAACUGCAGAGAACUGGGCAUCGUGUAUUACUCUUUAGUACCAUGACGAAGCUUUUGGAUAUCUUGGAGGAAUACUUGCAGUGGAGGAGGCUUGUUUACAGACGUAUUGAUGGAACAACUAGCUUGGAAGAUCGUGAAUCAGCUAUUGUUGACUUCAAUAGUCCUGAUUCUGAAUGCUUCAUAUUCUUACUAAGUAUACGUGCAGCUGGUCGUGGUUUAAAUCUUCAAACUGCUGACACUGUUGUUAUAUAUGAUCCUGAUCCUAAUCCUAAAAAUGAGGAACAGGCGGUUGCUAGAGCUCACCGAAUUGGACAAACAAGGGAGGUCAAAGUCAUUUACAUGGAAGCAGUUGUUGACAAAAUCUCUAGUCAGCAGAAGGAGGAUGAAAUAAGGAGUGGGGGUACAGUUGAUUUUGAGGUUGAUUUUGCAGGUAAGGAUAGAUAUAUGGGGUCAAUUGAGAGCCUCAUAAGGAAUAACAUUCAACAAUAUAAAAUCGACAUGGCUGAUGAAGUAAUCAAUGCUGGACGUUUUGACCAGAGAACAACACAUGAAGAGAGACGCAUGACUUUAGAAACUUUAUUACACGAUGAGGAGAGGUAUCAGGAAACUGUCCAUGAUGUUCCCUCGUUGCACCAGGUAAACCGCAUGAUAGCAAGAAGCGAGGAAGAAGUGGAGUUGUUUGAUCAAAUGGAUGAAGAACUGGA
rnacentral:lncRNA from 1 species